GCCACUGUCCUGAACGUCUUACGUGUCGCUCUGUCUUAGUUUAAUCCGUUUAUCAUUUGUUUGUCUGUUUGUUUUUCUUCGAGCAGGAAUGAUACAUUCCUUCUAUCAUUUUCUCCUAUUGCUGUGUAUAUUUACAUUGAGCGCAAAUCUUACGAAUCAAACCAUUUUUUUCCAAUCACAUAUAUUUUUGGUGCUUUUAUAGCAAGCCUGCCGAAAACAUCGCGCCACCAAGCGAUGUAAUUGCGUUCGCUCUCCGACCGAAUAGCUCUUAGAGAUGGACACGGUUCCCGCCGAGGUUCCCGUGGAAGUAGUAAUGCCUCGGCCACUUCAACUCGCUCCAAUCGCAGCCAGCACGCCAAGGACAACGGUGCAGCAGCCGGACAUGGACAUGGAGCUCACCAGAACGAGAACGUCACCGUAGAGAUUUCCGAGAUCCGAACCUAGAUUCCAGUAACCGUUUCUCGCAGCAUAACCGUGACUAAUGAAUGAAAAAUAAUUGAAAUUUUAAGAAAAACAAAUCUUCUACAAGAAAAGGCAGUUGAUUGCCCGAUGUUAAUAAUAAUGGAAAGAACUUUGAUGUACCGAUACAGCGGCAAAAGAUAAAUACAUUAAUGAAGUACUAGAUCUCUCUUUCAUCCAACGACUUGCUAGGGACCAUUUAAGCAUGAACUGUGUGUGUAAUACGACUUUAAGAAAAUUUAUUCUAGGAAUUAACAUCUGUAGGCCAAGAAAACAAUUUGAAAGAAACGCAGUCCUAGGCACCGUCAUUUUUAGGAACACUAUUUGAAAUAUAGGAAAAACUAAACAAAAAUGUGAAUCAAACUUCUCAAGUGAUCUUUUUACUGAACUAUAACGAACAAAAUCAAAUUCUUACAGCGUUGCUUACCAGGAGGGCUGAAGGUGAUGGGUGAGAGUGCCCUCCUCCUAAAAGAGAGAACCUUUUCCAUGAAACUCAAAGGAACAAACCAAAUACUUAGAACACGCGCGCAUUCUAACGUCUAUCCCAUUGUGUGUGGAAUAGAAUCGGUCAUAGAACAUAUAGAGAUCAACAAAUUUAACCAAUUACACAAGAUAUAUCGUAGCUGUUUCUAGUGACAUUUCCUUAGCAUCUUCCAAGAAUUCAGAUAAGAAUAACUUUAUAGGAACAACCGAACAAGAGAAAAAGCUUUCCUUAUAAUACUGUGGAAUCAAUUUCCCCAAACAUAAAUCCUACAUUGAAGAUAGAAAACGACCCAGGUGUGGUGCUAGAAGCAAAGCGUCGAAAAGCGCAAAGAAUCAUCGUCAUAUCGUAGCAAUGUCCCGAUACAUAGUGGCUUCAAAUUUAAAUAAAAUCCAAAUUCAAUUCCGUAGCAACAAAAAUUCGUCUGCGUCAGAAUACCAUAAGGUGCGCGUAGUGCUAGAAGACGUAUUUUUUCAAAUUAUAGUAGUGUGACAUUUCCAGAGAUCCAAAUAAAAGUAGAAAACGAUGAAUUAUUUGCGAACCAAAGGUGGAAAAUUUUUUCGUUUAUCUCGCUGAAAUUGUUCGCUUCGAACUGCAUCGUCUUACUAUGGAAAAAACAACAACAACAAAGAAGAGUUUAGCUUUAAUAAAAACCUAUUAACAUUAGCAGUCAACCAGAGAGAGGUAACCCGCUAGCAAACGUAUCCAUACACUGUAGCCUUUUUCCUUCAUUAGUAAGUCGAGUCCAGUUAGAAAAUGAGUAAAAAUCUAAGAUAUUCUACAAUACUUGAAACAUGCAGUACAGCUUUACAUCGCGAUAGGUACAAUGACAAGGCAAAUUUAUGCGCUACAUUUUAGGUGUAUCAAUAAUACUAUUUUUUCGAGUUUCGUAAAAAAACCUAUCAAUACACAAUAUGACAAUCCAAAGUCUAGAAGAAAAAAAAAUGGCCGCUGAAUCGCAGAAAAAAUAAAACAUCAUUGAUUAAAAUGCAACACGUUUUAGCCAACACGCAUUGAAGUUGUUGAAAUGCAUAAGCCUGAACUUUUUAGUAGCCAUCUGCAACUGAUUUUAAUCCCACGCAAGCUCUCAUUGAUACUGGUGAGUCGUGGCUCACACGAUAGAUGGCAGCAUUAUCGCCACAAAUAUCAGCUACAAACAUUGAAUUUAUUGACAGCGACAGGUGUCGAGAUUGGAAAUCGAACUAGUGUUGAAAGUAUGACAUCAACAAUGACUGCUUUACACCAAAUAUUGGUGCAGAAAUAUAAAUAAAAGUUAGAAUGCCCCUUAGAGGCAGCAAGGAUCAAAAAUAUAAGAUAGAAUAAAACACCCCUCUUAAGGAUGAAAGAAUUCUUCAACCUUUUUAUAAUAAUAAAAUAUAUUAUUCAGAUUUUAUUGCAUUCUUUUCCCGCUGUUUUCAACUGAGCUUUUGUUAUCUCACGAAACUAAAACCAAAUAAAAAUUUCUCAAGUGAGGAGCGCAUGUGAUAUUAAAAAAUAAAACAAAUCUAUUUCUAGCAUAAUGUUUACAAACCGUAACAAGAGAAAAAAAAUAACUUGCCUCAAAAAUAUUGUUUUCCUUCGCCAAAGCAAGCGGUGUAGAGGUAACAAAUAGUAAACAAAAACGAAAGUAAAACGUGAAUCAACAGAGAAUGAGUACUAGAUCAGUGAUUCACCACCGAACGGGAAAAUCCACGGCGCCAACUUUGGAAUGUUUCUCCAAAAAUAGGGGAAGAUUUUCGGAGAAAUAUUUCGUUCUUUGCCAUUGACAAUGGACCAGUCUAUUCGAUGAGUGGAGACUUGAUGUUCGAUUUUUCUAGUUGUUUCGCAUCUUUCCGUUUGGAAAGAACGCUGCGAAAAUGAGCAAACUGUCCGCACAUAAUUGCAUUUUCACUGACACACUGUUAAACUAUACUCACACAUUCACCACAAUACACAUACAAUCAAAAAUUAAAAAGCUCCCGCUGACAUUGCAGAUAGCAGAAGUUGUUUAAGGCGUUUGUUGUGAACGAAUUGUUAAAAUAACUCAGUCCCCAUACCCAGCUUCGGUUUGUGUUUUCUCAUCUUAGAUUUUCGAUUUCAUUUGUACUUCACUACAAAAAAAAACUAGAAUUAACCAUGACCAAACAAUGAACCAUGAAAAAUGCUUUAACGAAUAAACUUGAAAGUAAAAUCGAAAUCAUUAUAUUGAAUAAAUAAUAUUUAAAGAAAAUGCUAACCGCUUGAAAAUCAACUUAACAAAAACAAAACAACCCUAGACCGAAAAAUUAAACUUAUCUUUAUAAUAAUAAGAAUAAAAUUUGAUUUGCCAAUCAACAAUACACGAUGGAUGAGCACAAUGAACAAUGAUAAUUUGAAUGAACACAAACGGCCACACAAAGAAAUUUUGUAUUACCAUUUAAGUGUUGAAUCAAAAUCCCUUAAAACUUGAAAUAAAUCCUUUCUAGUGUUAUGAUCCAAAAGUAAAAAUAUAUAUAUGAAUACAAAAAAAAAUAGAAAUAUUCAGUAGUCAACUAGAAAUAACGCUGUCACCAAAAAUGGCGUUAGGCUUAGGAGCGUGAAAAGAUUAGCUUAAAUCGAUUGUAACAAUUAAUACCUAACAAUGAUUAGAGAAGCUAGUAACAGAUCCAGAGUUCAAAACGUUCAAAUUUUGAAAUUUGGGGAAGAAUUUCAAAAUUACAACGUUUUGCUCAUUUAGCAGUAACCUAUUUAGGUAUAGUAUAUACAGUUCUUGGAUUAUUCACCAUAAGAUUCACACAGACACAAUCAAAAAUCACAUACACUAACCCAUUGCCGAGUAUUCAUGCUUUUUAUUUUUUAAAUGUUUUUAAAUUAGAAAAAUCAUCGCAAAUCAACACAAAAGUUGAAAGUGAAUGAAAUAACUGAAGCUGAAUAACGGCUCUCGAAAUCGAAGAGAUAUGAACAUAAAAACUGCUUUUAUUUACUGACCCCAGAUUUGAGGUACACAACUAUGAAUAGAAUGCUAUCUAACUAUUUUCUAUCUACUUAAAACACUAAAACAAUAAGAAUAAAACCACAUCGCGAAAAACAAAAAAUGAAUUUGACAAACAAAAUCAAAGACUAUAUUCUUGUUCUAUCUCCUAUUUAUGAAAUGAAAACAAACAAAAAAAAAUGCAAACAAAAACAACGCGCUGUAUUCUAUUCUUAAAGUUUAUUUUAUACGAACGUUGAAACAAAGUAAACAAAUGAUGAACACACACAAAUACACACUAAUAAAAAUCACUCACACAAACACAGAAGGAGGAAAAUCUUACAAGUGAAAACAAAAGUAACAAAAACGGCAAGUAAUGAUAAAACUACUAAUAAACACAGAUUUAAACAAGAAAAUAACUACUACUUCAAUUGUGUUGGCGAACGACGGAGUAAAGCUAAACCCACACAUUCAAAGCUAGGAACAUGCAAAAUACGACUGUAGGAAAAGAAGUAAGAAUACAAUUGAACAGCGGAAUCUAAUAAAACCAACAAAGCGAAAAAGAAAACCGAAUACCAGAACCUAUCGCCGCAUAGAAGUAUGGAUUUUGAGCAAAAAAAAAAGUAUGAAUAAAAAGUAAAAUAUAUACUAGCUAAGAUGUAUCACUUUACAGAACUUAAAACUUUUAAUAAAAACAUAUUUACUUUACAUAAACUAACGAUAAA